UUCGUAGUUCCACCGCAAGAUGAAAGCAAGGAGAAGAGAGCGGAGAGUGAGGGGGAACUGCGAUUGCAUCACCGAUGUGGAACUCUUGUUUCUCCAUCGCAGUCAGUCACUGAAUGAACCAAAAUGCAUGUAUCCUCUAUCCUCCCAUUGCCGGGAAUCCGGAUUGGAUGCCGGAAUCCGGUGAGUCCCCAGCUCUCAUCACGAGAAGCACAGCACCCUUCUUCUUACGCCGUGCGUCAACGUAAUGCAAGCACAGCAGGUAGCGGGAGAAGCAGCGAGAAUGGCUCCAUCCCAGGCGAAUCACUGCACGACUUCCCAGAGAAGGCCACUGCUACACUGGGGCGCUGCCCGCGGCCUCGCCGGAUAAUACUUGUGAGGCACGGCGAGAGCCAGGGAAACGUGGACGAGAGCGUCUAUACUCGGAUACCCGACCCCAAGAUUGAAUUGACGGAGAAAGGGUGGCGAGGCGCCGAGAAGACGGGCAGGCGGAUACGGGAGAUGAUUGUGAAUGAUGGCUGCGACGAUUGGAAGGUUUACUUCUACGUGUCGCCAUACACCAGGACGCUUCAGACGCUGAGGGGUUUGGGCAGAGCCUUCGAGCGCGAGCGGAUCACUGGCGUGAGGGAAGAGCCUCGCUUGCGGGAGCAAGACUUCGGGAACUUUCAGGACAGGGAGAAAAUGAUAAUAGAGAAAGCUGAACGCCUUAAGUAUGGCCGAUUCUUUUACCGCUUUCCAGAUGGAGAAUCUGCUGCUGAUGUCUAUGAUCGGAUAACAGGUUUCAGAGAAACUCUCAGGGCAGACAUAGACAUUGGCCGAUUCCAACCGCCAGAUGAAUGGACUCACAACAUGAACUUAAUAAUAGUUUCUCAUGGCCUGGCAUUGCGGGUCUUCUUGAUGAGAUGGUAUAAGUGGACGGUGCAGCAAUUUGAGGGCCUCCACAAUUUCGGGAAUGGAGGGAUGAUUGUCAUGCAAACAGGGACUGGUGGAAGAUAUAGUCUGCUAGUUCAUCACACAGUUGAGGAGAUGCGGGAGUUUGGCUUGACAGAAGAAAUGCUUCAUGACCAGAGAUGAACCUUGCAUUGCAGAUGGAGUUGAUAAUGCAAGUCCACCCUCAAAACGAUUUGCCAACAUCAUCCAUUGGCAUGCAACUUAAUGCUACCUUGCCUUCCAAAAAGAGAGUAGGAACGUCUAUCAAGCUUUCUGUCUCUAUAUGACCAAAGCUAUCUGAAUUAGAAAAAGCUCCCAAACGACUUAUGAAGUCUGCAGCUCCAAAAAUUUUAAGAAAUCCUGCUUUGCAGACACAUCAAAAUCGUGUUUCCAUCUUCCAAUGCAAGGCAAAUGAAGGCAAAGCCAGGUGAAUUUAAUCAUGAGUGGUCCAGCUCUGGUCCGUCAUUUUUUUCACAUUUUGAUUAGCAGCCAAUGCUGCUUAAGAAUAUUCAUAUAUGAGGCCAGUACAUUGCAUAAUAGAAGUAAUGCUUCCUGUCUGGGGAUAUUUGGUGCUUGUGGUACCACUAGUUUUUACUGUACAUACUACAGAUCGCUUCAAUUUGAUGACAGAAUCUCCAUUUUUUGUGAGGUA